GGAUGACUAACAAAAACCUGAAAUGCAUAGUAUGCAAGAAGGAGUGUUGUAAGAACUGUGUAGAAUCUAAAUCCUAGGAUUCCUUGACAUUCUGUUACUGAGAGUCUGCAGUCUCAAGACUUUAAGGAUAAUAGUUCCAAAGGAAUGUUAUCUCCUUGCUAUUUGGUGGAAAUGACCUCACUCUUAGCAUCAGGGGUGUGGCUGAUUGGCUUAACCUAAUCUAUGCCCCACCCCUUCUGGCAUUUAUUCCUUCUAGCCACAAUAAUUGGCUCAGGAAUUGAUACAUGAUCCAAUUGGGGCUAAUGAAAGAGACUGAAUCCAAAAACAUAAGCAGAAGCCUGCUUGGGUCCUCCUCUCUCAUUGCUUGGAGUCAUACUGGUGAGUAUAGGAUAAAUUCUGGAGCCUGGAAUAUGAAAACUGACUGUCAACACAUGGUAGAGUUGUCACUGAGCUGCUGCCUCCAGCUUCAGUAGGGACCAGUUCUAUCUCUAAACUGUUUCAGUUUUGUGAUGCAAUAAAUUCCACUUACUGCU
rnacentral:lncRNA from 10 species